UUUUGGUGUGUUUAAUACUGAAAUUUGCUUUCAGUUGCUUUAAUCAUUCGACAUGGAGCACAUCUCUCGAAUUAUGCUCGCUGUUUGUGUGCUUUUGUUAAUAAGUUUUAACGUCCGCGGUCAGGAGUCCGAUUCGGCUGAACAGCAAACCACUGAACCCAGUGUUGAACCGCAGGAAAACCCAGAGCAGGAGAAUGUAACCGUGGAUGAGGAUGGCUCAACGCGUGGUGAUGAAGACGCUACACCGGGCGAGCCUAUCGGGCUGUUACCAAACAUUGUGAGCAUUAUCGUGGCACCAUGCAUGCAGGGUUACCGUGCAGAUCACAGGGGCAAAUGUCGUCCGGUCAUCUAGGCGAGUGAGUCGUUUCUGAAGACUGAAUUUAUUGUUCAAAGAGGGAUUUAGUGUUAAGCAUUAUAACUUUGUUUUGAAGCUUCAACGAUGCUUAUGUUGUAUAGUUAGAGCUCUGGACAACUUAUUUCGUGGAUGAACAUGUGUGACGCAAUUUGAACUAGAGUUCAAGGUUGCUACAAAGCGGUAACUGAUAAGGUGUACCAGGGCUACUUUGGUUUAGAGCUGCAGCUGUGCA